CCUAAAAACUUCCCUCCCAACCCAAUCGGGCUCCCAAUUUGAACUCCCCCCAAAAAUUUUCUAAAAAACAGCAGAAAAAAUUCAAGACAAACAAAUCAAAACCCUAGCUUCCAAUUUCAUACCAAUGGUUUGCAACUCUUCGACCACUACAGUUCUCCUGGCCCUCCGUCGCCUCUCCCACCUUUGUCAGAUUCUACAACGAAGUCCCUAAAUAUGGCAAAGGAGAAAUCAAAGGAGUCCCUAAAUCACCACCGGACCAAUCAAAGGAAAAAUAUGGGUGGCUAAAGGGAUUUAUUGCGGAUUAUGGGGUUCCGGUUAUGGUGGUUGUUUUGACCGGUGUGUCAGACAUACCAACUGAUAGUGUUCCAGAAGGAAUACACAGGCGGCCUUUUAGUCCAAAUCCGUGGUCUCCUAGUGCUUAUACAAAUUGGAUCGUUGCAAAGGAUAUCUUGAACGUUCAUUGGAGCUUUUGUUCCAGCCAUGACGAUUGCGGUUCUUUAUUAUUUUGAUCAAAGUGUUGCUUCUCAACUUGCACAACAAAAAGAGUUUAAUUUAAAAAAAAA